CGGGAGGCAGCAGUGGGGAAUAUUGGACAAUGGGGGAAACCCUGAUCCAGCGACGCCGCGUGGGUGAAGAAGUAUUUCGGUAUGUAAAGCUCUAUCAGCAGGGAAGAAAAUGACGGUACUAGAGGAGGAAGCCACGGCUAACUACGUGCCAGCAGCCGCGGUAAUAC
rnacentral:rRNA from 1 species